rnacentral:rRNA from 1 species
UACAGAGGUCCCAAGCGUUGUUCGGAUUCAUUGGGCGUAAAGGGUGCGUAGGCGGCGCGGUAAGUCGGGUGUGAAAUCUCGGAGCUUAACUCCGAAACUGCAUUCGAUACUGCCGUGCUUGAGGACUGGAGAGGAGACUGGAAUUUACGGUGUAGCGGUGAAAUGCGUAGAUAUCGUAAGGAAGACCAGUUGCGAAGGCGGAUCUCUGGGCAGUUCCUGACACUGAGGCACGAAGGCCAGGGGAGCAAACGGG